rnacentral:rRNA from 1 species
GAUGAACGCUGGCGGCGCGCCUAACACAUGCAAGUCGAACGGUUAAAGCACCUUCGGGUGUGUAUAAAGUGGCGAACGGCUGAGUAACACGUGGGCAACCUGCCCCUCGCACCGGGACAGCCUCGGGAAACCGUGGUUAAUACCGGAUACUCCGCCACCCCCGCAUGGGGGAGGCGGGAAAGCCCAGACGGCGAGGGAUGGGCCCGCGGCCUGUUAGCUUGUUGGCGGGGUAACGGCCCACCAAGGCAAUGAUGGGUAGCCGGGUUGAGAGACCGACCGGCCAGAUUGGGACUGAGACACGGCCCAGACUCCUACGGGAGGCAGCAGUGGGGAAUCUUGCACAAUGGGCGAAAGCCUGAUGCAGCGACGCCGCGUGCGGGACGAAGGCCUUCGGGUCGUAAACCGCUUUCAGCAGGGAUGAGGCCGC